AAACUUUCAACAACGGAUCUCUUGGUUCUGGCAUCGAUGAAGAACGCAGCGAAAUGCGAAAAGUAAUGUGAAUUGCAGAAUUCAGUGAAUCAUCGAAUCUUUGAACGCACAUUGCGCCCACCAGUAUUCUGGUGGGCAUGCCUGUCUGAGCGUCAUUU
rnacentral:rRNA from 2 species